rnacentral:rRNA from 1 species
AACGAACGCUGGCGGCAUGCCUAACACAUGCAAGUCGAACGAGACCUUCGGGUCUAGUGGCGCACGGGUGCGUAACACGUGGGAAUCUGCCCUUUGCUUCGGAAUAACAGUUAGAAAUGACUGCUAAUACCGGAUGAUGUCGAAAGACCAAAGAUUUAUCGGCAAAGGAUGAGCCCGCGUAGGAUUAGGUAGUUGGUGGGGUAGAGGCCUACCAAGCCGACGAUCCUUAGCUGGUCUGAGAGGAUGAUCAGCCACACUGGGACUGAGACACGGCCCAGACUCCUACGGGAGGCAGCAGUGGGGAAUAUUGGACAAUGGGCGAAAGCCUGAUCCAGCAAUGCCGCGUGAGUGAUGAAGGCCUUAGGGUUGUAAAGCUCUUUUACCAGGGAUGAUAAUGACAGUACCUGGAGAAUAAGCUCCGGCUAACUCCGUG